GUGUGAUCCCAUAUUGCCAUUCUUCUCUGCCCAAAAUGACAUUUUUGAUAAAACUAAAAUUGUAAGAAUAAAAGCAAACAUUGAUUAAGGGUGUUCCAUGUAAGAAUAAAAGCAAACAGUAAGAGUGUUCUAUGUACUGGUGUGAUCAGACCCCCUGCCCGGAGGUGGCUCUUCUCUCUCUCAGUCUCUGUACAUCCCCUGCUGGAUCAGUGCUUGCUUCACCUACACCUUACUCACACCACUGACUUUCCUAUAUACUUGCCCCCACCCCAGUUAGUGAUUGUUCUAACCCUUAGAUCAGAACAUCUCCACCUGAUUGCUGAUCAAAUGGGUAGUGAGAGCGUGCCCCUCGGCCAGUUUCCCUGGUAACCAAUGAGCCAACCAAUGUCAAUUCCCCCUCUAACUGGUAACCUCCCCCUCCCUCCAGGAGCUGCCCUGUCCCGCCUGCUGCCUGCCUGGUACGGUAGACUGUUGUUGUUUUGUGGCUGGAGUGGGAGCUGUCAUGUCCCGGGGCCUGCAGGCGUCCUUAACAUGGACUCACCGCCAAGUGAGGGUUCUUGGCUUCUCGACAGGGGGAAAGAAUUCAAGAGCCAGCCAAGGAAAAGCAAAGCCUGGUUGGUCAACGCUGAUUCCAAAUUAAAAACUCCUUGUUCAUCUGAGAAGAUGUCAUCAAGCAUGUUCCUCCUACAUGGAGCGAGGGAAGAUAUGGCCCCAGGGACUUCUGCUGUAUCAGCGUUUGUUGUGGCUUCUUCUCAUGAGAAUGUGCACAGGGUACUCAUCAUUUCCGUUUCCCUUCUGCCGAAGCGUGUGAAAAUGGAGACUAAUAAAACAACAAUAAAC
ensembl:lncRNA